UACCGUGAAGUCACCUUGUUACUUUCAAAUCACAUCACUUCGCGGCAUGAGCAUCACUCUUGCACUGGCGAGGCACUUUGCCUGCUUUUCUUGUAUAGAGCCAGCUACCGUGAAGUCACCUUGUGACUUUCAAAUCACUUCACUUCGCGGCAUGAGCAUCACUCUCGUACUGGCCAGUUACUUAAACUGCUUUUCUUAUGUAGAGCCAGCUUGCCGCCAGCUACCGUGAAGUCACCUUGUGACUUUCAAAUCACUUCAUUUCGCGGCAUGAGCAUCUCUCUCUCAGUUGGCAGCCAGCCAGAAAGUAGUUUUCAUAAACUUAACUAGCUUACCCACGGACGAUAUAAUGUGGAAACUUUAUUACGUAGGCAAAGGAAAUAAUUUCAAAAAUAUUUGAUCAGACUGAAAGUUAUGUUGACUGGUUACACUCCGUUGGAUCGUCAUGUUGGCUACUCGGUUGUAGAGCAUUGCGCGAACUAAGUGAAUUUGCAUGGUCGUAGAGGCCAUUGGCGCAGUAGUGCUUUGACUGCAUAGAUACACAAAUGGGUGGAAAAUUAUGAUGGAGCGUGUUGGUGCAUAGGUAGCAGAAAUAUUCCUUCAGGCCGGGAUUGUACUCUAUGCCAGUACCGAUCAGGAGGAUAAAGAACUGUUAUGAGAAUUUAGUUUAUCUGGUAUCUUUCACGGCGGUUAAACCUUUCUGCAUUGAAUAUUUAAAUAAACAAAAGAAUAAUGAAAUGUAAACUUUUUUUUUACUGAAAUAAUGACCUCAAUCUGGUCAAUGGGAAUUUUGUAAAAGCUAUUGAAGCUUUGUCUGCGUUAUUGUUAUUUUAAAAAUUAUUUUAUUAAAAUUCUUUUUUUUAUUAAGGGGUUAGGGGCAGUCAGAAUUUUAAUUGCAUUUUCGUUAAAUGCAUUAUCUUAAAAAUAUUCUCUAAAAUUUCACGUUGAUCCGACGAUUAGGUUUUGAGUUAUUCGACAAAUAACAAAGAGAGCUCGGGCACUUCAAAGCGGUAGUGGUAGAAACUUUAAACGCGUUUUUCUCAAAACUAUGAAUUUUGAACCGAUGGCAACUCAGUAGAUUUUAAUGAAAUUUAUACAGCUUUUAGAAUACAUAAAAAACUCGGGCCUGUUAGAAGCAUUUUUAUUUUUUCGAAAAUUUCGAUUUUUUAAGAUUUUUAAUUAACUGUUGAUUUUUUUCCAAAAAUUUAGAAAAAAAUUUCCUGAGGCCGCCAUCAAGAACGUAGCCAGCAACGGUGGAGCGUUCAUUUAGUACGCUAAGGAGAGUUAAAACUUGGCUUCGGAGCACGAUGGGAGAAGGAGGCUAUCUGGAUUAUGUCUGAUGAGCGUGCAUCGCACAUUUGUGAAAGAACAUCAACAGCUCAUUGAAGAAAAAAUCAUCAAUAAAUUUUCAGAAAAUCCUAGACGUCUACUACUUGCAUAAAAAUUUAUGAAUCUCCAAGGACUUAUGGUUGUCACCGCAAAAAAAUACUGAAAAUUCUCAUUUCUUCGUGCCUCUGACUAUCCCUAACCCUUUAAUAUUUUUUUUAUUUCAAUAUUCAUAUUGUUACGAAUUUACUCCUUGCUAGUUUUACUUUACUGGGUUCGUAUCUCUGGAUUGACAAAUAAAACCACCCUGCAAGACGGAGGUAACAGAUUGCACAAACACAUUGAAACAUUUUCAGCUGUUCACUCACACUGUUACAUUUUCUGGAAUUUUCAAUGGAAUGGGAGAAUACGUAAGUAAGAUAGAGAAAAACUAAUACGAAUACCCAAUAUUUCAAGAAGAAUAAACGAAAAGCGCAGUUUAUUUUGGAUUUUAAAGAGAGAAAACGAAAGAGGUUAACAAGGAGAAAAAGAAAUCAUUUGGACCAUUGGUAAAAUUCAAAUCUAUUGCGUGCAGCAACCAAAUAAUGGAGUAUGUUUUAAAUUAUUAAAGUUAAAUAGUGUAUAUUUAAUUGAAAUAUUUGUUAUAGAUUGAGCAUUUUAUUUUGAUUUUAUUAUUAAAUAAAGAGAAAUAAUAAAAAAACUGAGUUUUAUUUAAAAGAAUUUAAUUUGCUAGAAGUAACAAAUGGGUAACAGAUAAUCUUGUUACUGCUUGUUCUUCCUAACAUGCUUAUAUGUUAAAGGUAACAAACUGAUAACCAAAAUAAUAACACUAACAGAUAUUCGGGUAACAAAUACUUUUUGUUAUCCAUAACACAUGGGUAAGCUAAGCGCUAAC